rnacentral:rRNA from 1 species
AUUGAACGCUGGCGGCAGGCCUAACACAUGCAAGUCGAGCGUGCGGCGGACGGGUGAGUAAUGUAUGGGGACUGCCCGUUAGCGGGGGAUAACUACUGGAAACGGUAGCUAAUACCGCAUUCUAUCGGAUAACCCAGAUGGGAUGAGCUAGUAGGUGGGGUAAUGGCGCACGUAGGCGACGAACCCUAGCUGGUCUGAGUGGAUGAUCGGCUACACUGGUACUGAGACACGGCCCAACGUCCUACGGAGGAAGCGGUGGGGAAGAGUGCACAAUGGGCGAAAGCCUGAUGUCGCCAUGCCGCGUGGAUGAAGAGGGCCCUAGGGUUGUAAAGUACUUUCAGUCGGGAGGCGUUACCGACAGAAGAAGCACCGGCUAACUCCGUGCCAGCCGCCGCGGUAAUUC